UUCUGUAUUUCUGUCAUGGCUGCGCUCAUAGUGAGAGCUGUAAACAUGUGAAGACAACGAAUGAUGGUAACAUUUCAAGAUCAUCCGUCCAACCUGUGACCCUGUCGGAUACAAUAGCAGAAAAUGAGAGCAUAUAAAAUGAGUGAACAUUGUUGCAGUUUUGAAGAAUCACCUUGUGCCUUUGUGAUGAUAACAUGAGCAUGUAUAAAUCAGGUUUGGACAUGCUCAGGUGUGCUCUGAGAUCCACGUCACUUUGGAAGUGUGACUCUUUUAUAUGAACACAGACAUCUCUAUGUUAUAAAAGCCGAAGCUUUGCGGUGUCAUCUCAGUUGAGGAGAAAAAGCACACAAGGACACACUUUAAAACAAGCCCGCUAUUACUGUCAGAGUGGUGAAGAUGUUCAGAUUAAACAAACUGCUGCCUCUACAGAGACCAAUGAACUGCCAGAUAAAGCAGAAAAGGCUCCUUUCUACACACAUUUGCAGAAGUGUUUGUGCCCCACUGAUGUGCUGGACAUGUUCCCCGCAUCGCAGCAGCACCUCAGCAGCAUCUUCUCACGCAUGUGGGAGAGCUCAAAGAGGAUGACGGACGAGCAGCGGCGCUGUGAGCUGCAGCUGAUGUUUGAACACCCGGUGUUUGAGGAGGUCUGUGAACGGGCCAUGACUGACGCCUGGCGCAUGAGGAGCGAUGAUCUGGCUUACAGUCUGCUGGCCAUCGUCAACCUGGGAGUUCCACAAAACACACGUCUUGUGCAGACGCUGCUGCGUGUGAU